UUAACUUGCUUGACUAGGUCUUAUAAAGUUCUGGAUAUAGCUGAUAAUGACAACUUUAUAUCCAUAGGUCUCGACUACCUCUUUUGCCAGCAGUCGCCGUAAGACAACGGAGAAGAGUGUUAUACAUCUUGAACAGGUAUAUUGGGUACCUAGACUGUGUAUUUAGGCUUCUAUAGUACCUACUACACUAGAGUUUAAUAUGUGAGAGGAAGAUGUCAGAAUUGUUGGAGUAAAUAUGAAAUUCGUUAAUACCAAUAGGACUGAUAACGGCGAAGGCAAACCUCUAUGUACAUGUACAUUUUUUUACUAAAAUAUCGGUUUAUACAUAACAUGUAGAGCGUAAAUAAAGGUAGCAAUGUACUAUAACUGCCGUUGAGGGACGAAGGCUCAGAGAGUGAAGAGGAUUAGAUACCCCCGUAGCCUGGGCAGACAAUGAUGAGUGCCAUAGGUUGGCUUUUCAGUUGAACUAUACAUGAAAGUGGAAGCACUCCACCUCAAGAGUACUGUGGCAACGCAGGAAUUGAAAUCAU
rnacentral:rRNA from 1 species